UUUAGUUGGGCAAUAAUAAUUAUUAUGCAAAAGUAAUUAGAAUAUUAUAUAUUUUGAAAUUAGAGAAAAUUAUGUUUUUUAGCCUUUUGUCAAUACGUGAAAUAGAAUAGUAAAAUAUAGAAACAAGAGUGGAGAGCUAGGACUUGAAGGAGAAGGUCAAUUAAGGGUGCCUAAAUCAUGAAAGGGUAGAGAGGUUUCCAUUAACCUCCCUCAGGGUUUUACUUUUUCUAUUUGAUUGAUGAUAAUAUGAUAGAUGAUAA
rnacentral:lncRNA from 1 species